GAUUCCUUUGUAGAUUUUGUGCUGCCUUUUUGUGUUUUGACAAAUGCCUUAAGGGGAAACCAGCUCAAGGAGGUCGAGCAGGUUACUGUGCCUGUAAAUUUCUUUUACUACGAGGCACAGUUGCUGCAGAUGACAAAGCAAUCAAAAACUACACACCUUGGGGAGCCUUGGCAAUUUACAUGGCAAAGCAAAGAAGAUGUGGGCUUUGUGCCUCCUAGCAGCCAGCAGGAGGCUUUUCCAUCAGCCCCAGAGAAGCUGAGAUUUCAUCCAGAAUAGCUUUGAAGAGCUUUUGACUAAAGUAGACCCAAAGAAGAAGUACAGCAAGAAGAGAUGACAAUUAGCAAGUGAGAGUGCAGAAUAUGGUACUAGGCUUGCGCUGAUGCUUCAUGGUAAUGUGUGGUUUUCAUUAUCUUACUUGGAAAAAAAGCAAUCUUUCUGUUUUUAAACUAAAAUGAGAGAACCGAGCAGCACAGGUAAUACUAAGAGGUUGCUCUAAUGCAACCAUUACCCAAGCAAUUCCAAAGCAGUAAUGGGCAAACAGGAUUUUCUUUCUUUUCUGUCUGUUCUGCCCCCUAGACUUCUGUUGGAAGUCAGUGCAGACUCUCGGGCUGAGGAUGUGCGUGUGUGGAGCACACAAGCUGGAUCUACUAGCUGACCAUGAACAAGGGCAGUGGAGCUGAGGGACAGGCUCCCUGCAGAGGCUGUGCUGUCCUUGAUGGUUUCAAAACUCAUCAGGGUAUAGCCCUGAGCAGCUGGGGCUGGCCCUGCCUGAACUGUGUGGAGAAGACAAUUUGCUAACCAUCAGCUGAGAAAUUUGAUUGAUAUUUUAAAGGUUUGCUCCUGCUUCUCAUAUACUUUUUUUUUUUUUUCCUUUUCUGCUGACAUCAGCUCUACCUGACCUGAAUGGAGGCAUGGAAGUAUGAAAGGAAAACAUUAAGUCGAUAUGGUUCGAAAUGAUCUAUUUAUUUUGGUGUGGCUGCCAAACGGAAAAUCACGGCCCCAUCUGUGCUGCAGUCCCGGCCAGGCGUCUCAGCUCAUUGGGAUGGGCAUUUAAUGAAAGCUGAAGUGGCAGUAAUGGUGCCAGAGAAUUCACUGGGAAAACAUGGGUGGCUCUCAGAAACUGAGGGAAAUGCAAGGUUAUGCUGAGGCUCAUGAGGGCUGUCCUGAGCCAUUAGUUCCUUAACCAUUAUCCCUUUGUGGGUUUGUGUCCCUGUAGGAGCCGCAGCAGAAGUGACCUUUAAGGGAGGCUUUGAAGGAGGAACAUCAGGUCUCCUCUCGGAUUUGAGAGGGGAAUGCUUUCAGUCCAUUAAGAGUGGCACGGAAUGCAAUUCAAAACUGAGAAGUAUGACACAGCAGCAGGCAAGCUGGUAUUAGUAUUGGAGCAGAGGCAGGGAUCAACAUCUCCGUAAUAGUUUGUGUUCGAAGCAAUAGGGAAGAGCAGCCAGUGGAGGGCUGCGAACAGAAGAGUCAUUUGGCUGAAGCAAUGAGCCAGAAAAAUUAUCUGUGAAGAAGGAUGGCUGUAAGCGAGGUGGCUGGGGAUUUGUCAGGGUCAGAGAGAUGCUUCUAAUAGUCCAAGACAGAGGUUAAUCAAGACCAAUACAAGCAUUUUGCAAAGUGCAGUUAAAGAGGCAAAACUCUUAGAUCUGUUGUCUAAGGAAGACCUCACAAACGUGCAGGAAAAAGCACAGGGGCUGACUAACUCCAGCAGAGCUUAUAUCGAAUUAUUAGAACUAACAAUAGGACCUGUCUCUUCAUAAGCUUGGUUAAUAUUGCUUCGGGGAAGCAAAGACAAUAUUAAAUGUUUGUAUCUAUGUAGGAGAUCGUAACAUCAUCUCACUCUGUUUAUUAUCAUUUAAUUCUUUAGGACUCUUAAAAUUGUAAUAGUCUUCUGUUGGUGAUGCAGUGACGAAGAUAUAACCAAGUCCAACUGUACUGCUAAUCAGGACCCAUGAACAGCACAGCCUGUUACUGAAUAUAUUUUACUAGCAUGAGCCCAAUUAAUACCAGAUUGUUCAUUAGGAAUCCAAUAGCUUAUGUUUAAAUGUAAAAAAAAUAUUUGGGAGAUAAAUAUUUAAGCAAAUAGAGGCUAUUACGUGUGCUUUGUCAGUUGAGAUAUUUGGCAUGUCAAUUUAUUUUUCUAUUUAUUACAAGAAACUAAAACGAGUCAAAAUAGUAAAUGCUUCUUCUUUUUACAAAUUGCCCAUGAAGUGAAUCAUUAAGCGGUAGGCUGUGUCUGCCGCGCAGAAGAGUUGCUCUGCGCUGCUGAUUGCUGUGUUCCAGGCUGCGCAAUAAAGGCAGUUCUUCAUAAUUGUCUCUGCUACAAUAAAGGAGAAGUAUAAUGAAGAACUUAGGUUACAUUAUUUUUUUAAUAGCAGAAAGGAAGGGAUUUUUCACUCCAAACAAAGCCUCUUCUUUCUCUCGCGUCUGUGAACAUGAGGUUGUCCUCAGCACAGUUCACAGUAAUGAGUAAGUAAUGAGUUGAGGGCAAUUUAAUGAUGAGGCAAGUAAGUUAUAUAAUCGGGUAUUAUAUGGUCACCUAUAAAGGCAUGGACAAAUCUACCAUUGCCUCUAAAAGAGCCAAAAUUUCACCUACGUCAUAGCAGACAUUUGGGAGAGUAACUCUUAACUGCAGUGAAGUACUCAGCCAAUUUUCAAAAUCUUAGAGUCCGUGUGAAAUGCAAGUUGCCAAUUACUAUUUAUGUUCUUAAAACAAAAGGAAGACGGCAUUCAUUGAAAGGUAUCCAAAUGAAAUUUAGAAACAUAGCUUGAUGAAUAAUGAUGCGGAAAAAAAUUGGGAACAAUUGCUACAGAAUUGCUGAAGUCCAAGAGCGCAGUUCAGCUCAUUAUUGCUCUGUGAGAGCUUGUCAGGGGGGUUUCCUCCCCAUAUUUUCUUGUCAAUUUAGCAAAAUUGCACCCCCAGAUCCCUCUCCCUUUACCAUCAAUCCAAUUUUAGAUUGCCUCUUGAUAAAUUAAGGAAUUUCAUCAUCUCUUGGGGUGGCUACAAAAGGCCAUGGGAAUCCCACAACUGGGUUCACUAAUGUGUGUGCUGAACCCACGGUCACCUCUCAAAACCACUCUGAGCCUGCCCCUGAUGAAGUGGCCUUGUGAGGGAUCCAAGGCUGGACCGCAGCCGAGAGGGCUGUGACCUGGACUGAGCAAAAAGCUGGAUCUCCUUGUUUCCCACUGAUUUUAGCGUAGUUGAAUGUGCUCAGUAUCUUGCAAUGAUGUGUUUUACUAUAGAAAAAAAAAAGUUAAUAACACUCCAUGCAAAUAUUUAGUCACUUGAUGUAAUACAUCUGAAUUUUGAGCCAGCAAACUAUCCCUUCAAUCCACUUAUCAGUAUUUUUCUCUGACUUUCUAACUUCAAUUAUUUUCUCAUCAUUGCGUUGGUCUUCCCUAAUGCAUGGAUUACAUGAUGGAGCAGAAAAUAUGUUCUUGUUUAUUCAAGGGAAAAAUUACACAAGUAAUUUUAUUGCGUGUGUUUAUAAGCAAAGGAACUUGCUUAAGAGGAUGUGAUUUCUAAAGUGUCUUCAUAUGUAUUGCAAACAUAAAAGAAUUAUACAAAGAGAGUGCUAUGAUAUUUAUUAACAGAUAAUAUUUUUUUUCCCUUGAUUCAGUGCUGACACAAAAAUAGCCUUGCUCUUAGGUUUAAAUUAUGCUUUAAUUAGGUUGUUAUAAACUCACCUGUGACUUUAUUAAUCUUGCAAAAAUAAUGGUUGUUUCAUGUACGUGGUGGCUGGAGAAUAAUAGUUUGUAUUUGUUUAAAAUGCUUGUUUUGUUAAAUUAAGUGCUUAAACUAAUUAAAGACAUUUUUUGGGAUGUCUCAGCUUUAACCUACUAAAUGAGAGGCACAAGGAGGUACACAUAGAUACUUGCUUAUUGCCCAUAAAUCCACGCUUAUUACAACUGUAAACUCUGGAAUACAACUUUAUGACUCCCAUUUCAUUGAAGACUAUAUAGGCUAUUGCUAAUGCUAGAAAAAAAGACAUUUGAAUAAGAGCAAUUUUGAUUUUUGGGUUUGAUUGCUUUUAAUUGUGAAUUAUGUUGAAGUACUGUAGUCAUUAUCUUAAAAACUAUUUAAUUAAAUGUAAGCAUCCAACUGUGCGUCUUUUCAAAGAGCCAAAUUGCUCUAAGAUCUUGAACGGAAGAGUAAUAUAUAUAUAUGUGUGUGCAAGUAUCACAGGGUUUAAAAAACAUUCUCUCCUCA